rfam:Dipodomys ordii contig_85497, whole genome shotgun sequence.
GGGAAUGUGGCUUAGUGGUAGAGUGCUUGCCUAACAUGCAUGUAGCCCUGGGUUCAAUUCCUCAGUACCA